AUGGAAGGAGAGAGAAAAAGGAAGGGGGAAAUCUCAAGAUGUGGAUUUGGUUUUAUUUAUAAACAAGCCCAACACAUUUUAGCUUGCGUAAAUUGACACAUUGGGCUUGCUUAUAAAUAAAACCAUAUCCAGCAUCUUGAGAUUUUCCUCCUUCCCCCUUUUCUGAUUUAUUCUGG